rnacentral:rRNA from 1 species
UACAGAGGGUGCGAGCGUUAAUCGGAAUUACUGGGCGUAAAGCGCACGUAGGUGGUUUUGUAAGUCGGAUGUGAAAUCCCCGGGCUCAACCCGGGAACUGCAUUCGAGACUGCAUUACUCGAGUAUGGGAGAGGGAAGCGGAAUUUCCAGUGUAGCGGUGAAAUGCGUAGAUAUCGGAAGGAACAUCAGUGGCGAAAGCGGCUUCCUGGCCCAAUACUGACACUCAUGUGCGAAAGCGUGGGGAGCAAACAGG